CCUACGGGUGGCAGCAGUGGGGAAUAUUGGGCAAUGGGCGCAAGCCUGACCCAGCAACGCCGCGUGAAGGAAGAAGGCUUUCGGGUUGUAAACUUCUUUUCUCAGGGACGAAGCAAGUGACGGUACCUGAGGACUAAGCCACGGCUAACUACGUGCCAGCAGCCGCGGUAAUACGUAGGUGGCAAGCGUUAUCCGGAUUUACUGGGUGUAAAGGGCGUGUAGGCGGGGACGCAAGUCAGAUGUGAAAACCACGGGCUCAACCUGUGGCCUGCAUUUGAAACUGUGUUUCUUGAGUACUGGAGAGGCAGACGGAAUUCCUAGUGUAGCGGUGAAAUGCGUAGAUAUUAGGAGGAACACCAGUGGCGAAGGCGGUCUGCUGGACAGCAACUGACACUGAGGCUCGAAAGUGUGGGUAUCAAACAGGAUUAGAUACCCUGGUAGUC
rnacentral:rRNA from 1 species